UUUGGGAAGCAUCUCUCUAUGCUACAACAUGAAGACUGUGAAUGGCCAAAUGAAUAUGCUCCCUGGAGAAAAGAGACCCUGACUUUGGUUCCGCAUCCACCCAGUGAGACCAGUAGCAGCAGAGUGAAGAAUAAUGGCGCUCCAUCACUGGCUGAUACUGAUGUCACACAUUUCCCUUCCGCUGGACAUUUUUAAGGGGACUCGAUGACACAGACGCAUCAGCUGAAAAGAGGUCUGCUGGAAACCCUAGUCUGGAUCUUUAUUUGGUCCUGCAGCCAGAAAGCUGUUUGCAGAGGCGAGUGCCCUCAAAGGAAAACCUGCUUUUGUGAAUCAUGCCCUUUGUGAACAACAAAGUCCAUCCUCCUUUCAUGGACUUUGAUGAUGGAGAGUAUAUUGAGCCGAAGAGCUGCACCUGUCUUCCAGGUAAAAGAAGUGCAAUUUCCAAGCACACAGAGGUACCAGCUGGAGUGUUGGUGCUGAUUGCCUUGCUCCACAGCUGCGCAUCUUCACAGGUGAAGGCCAGGACUUUCCCAUGGCAAUUUUAGCAUAUUGUAAUUGUUCCAAGAUGUCCUAGAAGCUCCCUGCAUUUCUCUAAGGCUGUAACCCAGUCUGACGGACUCUCUUGGUAGGCACUGUGCACAGAUCACCUUAUCCCCAACCCUUUCAUGUGAAAGGCUGCUUGGGGAGACAGAACAUAAAGCAUUCCAUCAGACCCUGUGCUCCUGCGAGAGUGACACACUGACUCAUAGUCUCUUGGUUUUAUAGCCCCAAUUACCCUUAAAGGAUAAUUGGGUUUUAAUGUAUGUCCCAGUUUUUAUGUCACAAUCAAAGAAAACUGAAAUUUCGGUGAGUCGUAAUUAUCAUCAGCUGUGCUGUGGAAACAUUCUGAUGUGAGCUCUCAGUUUCCAAUAGGGAAAGCAAUUUCCUGAAGUGAUUACUGUAUACUUCAGUGUGGAGAAUGGUCUAUAUUUCUGGGUAGGGUGAGCCAGCCACAGAGCAGGGCAAUAAUUCCUAGAGAAAUGGCUAUUUUCUUUGCUAAUUCCAGGAGUCAAUAUGAAAGUGAAAUGGCAAUAAAUGUGCCACAUGAUUUCCUUUUAAUAACUGAGGGCUGUACCUGUUUAGGAAAAAAGAAAUGAAUGCUGCUUUUUAUUACUAGAGAGUCCAAGGUGGUAGUAAACCUAAUCCCAGGAAAAGUUCAGGUCAUGAAGUCCCACUGGAGAGAAAGAUACAGGGUCAUUCUAAAAUUACUGAAUGAUUAUGUAGUCUCCUGCUGGGAACAAUCUGACAGUUAGCUAUGGGAAUUGUGUGCCACCAAAAUAGCUAACUGCAAGGAUGCGCUCAUCAUGAGAACAUCCACUCCUGGAAAUUCAGAGAUUCACAGUUUCACCUUUUGCAUGUGUAAUGCCUAUGGGAUAUAAAUAACUCUCCCCUAAAACCUUCUUCUUGAGUAACAUAUUUGCAUAAAGCUGCAGCCUCACAAGACUUCUGACACCUUUCUUAAAAAAAAAAAAAGUUGUUCAUCUUAAAGAACAGGCAGAUUGAGAUUUAUAGGAAGGGGUGGGCAAGUCCCAGUCCCCACUCUUUUUGUUCAAGCCAUGUUCCCAGCCUUCCCCUUGCCAACAGCAGAGAAGCUCAUACACCCGUUUGCAAUAGGGUGUAUUUACAAUUUAUUUCAUUAAUGUGUUUGCCUACCCCUAGGAAAAGCUCCGAAUGGGUAUUUGGAGGUAAGGGGACUUUGGGAUCAAGUAAAGGGUACGGUCUAAGGUUCUAGGGCCACCCACCAGGCAAAGAACUCCUGGAUGUGUCUCUUGGAUCAUGGUUAGUGGGGAGGGUUGGUCUGGGAGUAUAUUCUCCUUGAGAUCAAGAGCUUGUCAACUGUGAAACUCAGAGGAAAAGGCUGGAGCUCAAAAGUACAAUAUGCUGCUGAACAAGGGCGCCAAUGUCAGCUCCAAAAGAUCCGCUCAGAAAGAGCUCUGUUAGUCCCCAGAAAGAUCUUCUAUAGCUCACAGGAGCUGCUUUCAAUCCUUAGAGGAGCAUUUUCCCCACAGCUAGGGAAAACAGUAAUAGGGAGAAGAAAUCCUCUCACUAAAGAAAUCAAUGCCUUCUUUUCAACAUCAAACUUGGAUCUUAUUUCUUCAAAAAUGUCAAAAGGGCAAAUACUGAAAACAGUCAGAAGCAAAACCGUUGUGGUUUUGGGAGCAAAAGAAUUCUUCGUAAUGGCAGACGAGGAGUCACUGCAUGGGGAGAGUAUGGAUUCGUGGAAUGAGGGAACCUGAGGGCUCACCACAAUUGCCCCAAGUUGAAUAUAAAGUGGGGAAAGAAAACACCAGCUCCAAACGUCAGGGGUAGCACCCACGUCCGCGCUUUCUUUUGGAAUCGAAAAAUGUGCGCGCCCCCUAGUGGCCUAUAGGGAAACCGCCGGCGCUAUCUGAAUCGCAGGUGUGUGAGUUCGGGAGGAGUGGGGCGUUUGGAACAGCUCUCAAUUCAAAUACAUUUCGAGCUGCAUUUAUCUUUAGUUUUAAUAAUCCUUUUAAAAUAGAUAAGCAAGGUAUUUGAUUCACGGUAGUGUUUAUAGGGGGAAGGGUGCCAAGAGAAGAAAGAUGAUGAUAAACUUCAUGGGGGUGUGGAUCUCUUUUCUGUGGCCGUAGUCCUAAUGCUUAACCCCUGGUGCGGGCUCAUUCAUCAGAUCUUUCAUUAUGAUCCAUUCAAUCAAAAUCUGGAAAAUAAAUGACGAUAAUGGUAAACGAUUUCAUAUAAAAAAAAU